rnacentral:lncRNA from 1 species
UUUUAAUUAUUUCAUUUUCUUCAAAAUUUGGUAUAUUAAAAUUAUCUGCAACAUUUAUUUUUGAUAUAUUAUAAUUAUAUUGUUUAAAUUUUGGGAUCAAACAAGUCGAUCGAUUGUUGUCGUUGAUUCGGCGAAUUUAUGGUUUGGUAGAUUUUAUUUUGGUUGGCAACAUUGUUGGUUCUUGUGUCAGACUGACAGCUGGCUGAGCUGAGAGACAGGUUAUGGAAAGUGGGGACGUCGCGAGAGCGCCGGAGACUCCACUGCCGUAACAAUAAUGUGGGCAAAUUAAAAGCCACGAUUUAUCGGCGACAUCAAGAGCCGAUGUCUCAAUUUAAAUAAACAACUUAACCGAGAUGCAACAUCACUGAAAUCCCAUCACCGAAGGUCCAGUGGGUGGGAUUAGGUUUCAUCCGAGCGAUGCCCAACUAUCCCGGAUGAACCUAUGGGGUUUUUGUUUUUCUUUAAGUUUUUAACGUUUUAAAGUUUUAACGUUUUUGCCAGUUUUCAACGUCUAACGUUUUGCAAGUUUUAAUCUAAGAAGAAGUUUAUGAUUGGAUCAGACUAUUUCAACAAAUUUUGUGAAUGAAGAUUGCUACUGUUUUCUUCUGCGUUUGCAAGUUAUUUCAAGCUUCUUUCGGCGGAGCUUGCCUUGGUUGUUUGCACGUCGAAGCUUUCCUUUGUGCGGCGCGCAUGUGGAUGUGCCGCGCCUCUCCUUUUGUCAACACUCCGGAUAAGGCCCGGUGAAGGACUGCGAGGUUGACCGGUGGACGUGCAGCCCGCCAGCUGCGUAACAGUUGGCCCGCUGCGCCGCCAUCGUCCAGCACGCCCUGGCCUGAGCCGGCCUCAUCACCUGUACGGUAUUCCGGAACGCCUCAGGUAGGCCUGAUAGUCGGAGGUCCUCGAGUAAGGGAGGUGCCUACAGGUGUACGGACAGUGUUUUUAAACAUAGUGAUAUCCCAUGGUUGUUACGGAGUGACAAUUAACCUGACGGACCAAAGCGCGACCUGUCUCCCUCCAUAGGGUGUUCACCUACCUAUGGUUGUACUUGUUAAUUAAAUGUUAUAAGAAUAUACAUUGUAUGGAUUCAAAGGGAGUUUUCUUUGUCUCAUGCUCACCGGUCUAUAACAUCUAGCUGUGCCCUUCAGGUAAACACCACUUUAUAAAUUUCUGAAACAUAUCUGCAUUUUCAUAACACCAUUUCCUAUUUACCUACCUUCCUAUAAGGUAAGCAAAAAUCUA